CCUACGGGAGGCAGCAGUCGAGAAUCAUUCACAAUGGGGGAAACUCUGCUGGUGCGACGCCGCGUGGGGGAAUGAAGGUCUUCGGAUUGUAAACCCCUGUCAUGUGGGAGCAAAUUAAAAAGAUAGUACCACAAGAGUAAGAGACGGCUAACUCUGUGCCAGCAGCCGCGGUACUACAGAGGUCUCAAGCGUUGUUCGGAAUCACUGGGCGUAAAGGGUGCGUAGGCUGUUUCGUAAGUCGUGUGUGAAAGGCGCGGGCUCAACCCGCGGACGGCACAAGAUACUGCGAGACUAGAGUAAAGGAGGGGGAACCGGAAUUCUCGGUGUAGCAGUGAAAUGCGUAGAUAUCGAGAGGAACACUCGUGGCGAAGGCGGGUUCCUGGACAUUAACUGACGCUGAGGCACGAAGGCCAGGGGAGCGAAAGGGAUUAGAUACCCCGGUAGUC
rnacentral:rRNA from 1 species